rnacentral:rRNA from 1 species
UACGAAGGGAGCUAGCGUUGUUCGGAAUCACUGGGCGUAAAGCGCACGUAGGCGGAUGUGUCAGUCAGGGGUGAAAUCCCGGAGCUCAACUUCGGAACUGCCUUUGAUACAGCACGUCUUGAGUCCGAUAGAGGUGGGUGGAAUUCCUAGUGUAGAGGUGAAAUUCGUAGAUAUUCGCAAGAACACCAGUGGCGAAGGCGGCUCACUGGCCCGGUACUGACGCUGAGGUGCGAAAGCGUGGGGAGCAAACAGG